AAAAACUACAAACCACUACCUCAUGUGAAUUGCAUAAUCCUAUGAACCAUCGAUUCUUUGAACGCAAAUUGCACCCGAGGUCACUCGGGCGAGGGCCCGUUUGCCUGGGCGUCA
rnacentral:rRNA from 1 species